GACGAACGCUGGCGGCGUGCUUAACACAUGCAAGUCGAACGGAAAGGCCCUGCUUUUGUGGGGUGCUCGAGUGGCGAACGGGUGAGUAACACGUGAGUAACCUGCCCUUGACUUUGGGAUAACUUCAGGAAACUGGGGCUAAUACCGGAUAGGAGCUCCUGCUGCAUGGUGGGGGUUGGAAAGUUUCGGCGGUUGGGGAUGGACUCGCGGCUUAUCAGCUUGUUGGUGGGGUAGUGGCUUACCAAGGCUUUGACGGGUAGCCGGCCUGAGAGGGGUACCGGCCACAUUGGGACUGAGAUACGGCCCAGACUCCUACGGGAGGCAGCAGUGGGGAAUAGUGCACAAUGGGCGGAAGCCUGAUGCAGCAACGCCGCGUGCGGGAUGACGGCCUUCGGGUUGUAAACCGCUUUCGCCUGUGACGAAGCGUGAGUGACGGUAAUGGGUAAAGAAGCACCGGCUAACUACGUG
rnacentral:rRNA from 1 species